rnacentral:rRNA from 1 species
GACGAACGCUGGCGGCGUGCCUAAUACAUGCAAGUCGAACGCAGCGGGGACGGGUGAGUAACACGUGGGUAACCUCCCAUCAGAGGGGAUAACACUUGGAAACAGGUGCUAAACCGAUACUGAUGGAUGGACCCGCGGUGCAUUAGCUAGUUGGUGAGGUAACGGCUGACCAAGGCCACGAUGCAUAGCCGAUGUGAGAGGCUGAUCGGCCACAGUGGGACUGAGACACGGCCCAAACUCCUACGGGAGGCAGCAGUAGGGAAUCUUGGGCAAUGGACGAAAGUCUGACCGAGCAACGCCGCGUGAGUGAAGAAGGUUUUCGGAUCGUAAAACUCUGUUGUUAGAGAAGCGGUAUCUAACCAGAAAGCCACGGCUAACUACGUGCCAGCAGCCGCGGUAAUAC